GCUCUUCUCCUUCUUCUUCCUCUCGCUUUGAUUCGCCCCGCUCUCGAUCUCCCGAUCUCUCUCUCUCUCUCUCUCUCUCUCUCUCUCUUCCGCCAUGUUCAAGAAGUUCUCUUUUGAAGAUAUAUCUGCACAAAAUCAAGUGAAGGCAUCUGUUCAGCGAAAAAUUCGGCAAAGCAUUGCUGAUGAGUAUCCUGGUCUUGAACCUUUACUAGAUGACCUACUUCCGAAGAAAUCACCUCUAAUUGUUGCUAAAUGUCAAAAUCAUUUAAAUCUUGUAGUGAUGAACAAUGUGCCACUAUUUUUCAAUGUCCGUGAUGGUCCUUACAUGCCAACUCUGCGGCUUCUUCAUCAAUAUCCAGAUAUAAUGAAGAAAUUUCAAGUAGAUAGGGGUGCUAUCAAGUUUGUUCUUGCUGGUGCUAAUAUAAUGUGCCCUGGUCUGACAUCACCUGGUGGCGCUUUGAAUGACGAAGUAUUGGAAGAAACACCUGUGGCUAUAAUGGCUGAGGGAAAAGAACAUGCAUUGGCAAUUGGAUUUACGAAGUUACCAGCAAAAGACAUUAGAACCGUUAAUAAGGGAAUUGGGGUAGAUAACAUGCACUAUCUAAAUGAUGGCCUGUGGAAGAUGGAGCGGCUCGAAUAACUAUGAGCACAUUAGGACCGUUGGAAUGACAUUUUGAAGAGAUUUUGUAGGCUGCAAGAACUAGCAUCUAUAGGCUAUAGCUGAAGUUUACGAAAUGCUUUACGUCGGAAGCUGCUUUGAACGACGGCACUUUUAUCUAGUGUUGUUAGCAUUGGAACUUCUUGAUGGUUGCUAUAAUGUGUGGACAUUAUACGAUACCGUAAGUUAAGUUAUGGUACCUAAAAUUUAUGAACUUCUUUUCAUGAGUUUGCGUUGUUUUAAAAGCUCACGCGGUGGAUUUUCUAGUACCUAAAAAUUAGGUCCGUCUUGGACUCUUUUGGCGGCAGAAAGGAACGUCCAGCGUCGUCUUUUACUUCCGUGCACGUUCCUUAUCCGAAUUUUUACCUCUGCUAAGCUGAAGAUAGAAUGUACCCCAAACUGUAACUUCCUACCUGCACUUCUGUUAUUUGUGGGCAACUAUAAUUAUAUUUCCUUCGAUCA